rnacentral:rRNA from 1 species
UCCAGAGGUCUCAAGCGUUGUUCGGAUUCAUUGGGCGUAAAGGGUGCGUAGGCGGCGCGGUAAGUCGGGUGUGAAAUCUCGGAGCUUAACUCCGAAACUGCAUUCGAUACUGCCGUGCUUGAGGACUGGAGAGGAGACUGGAAUUUACGGUGUAGCGGUGAAAUGCGUAGAUAUCGUAAGGAAGACCAGUGGCGAAGGCGGGUCUCUGGACAGUUCCUGACGCUGAGACGCGAAAGCGUGGGGAGCAAACAGG